rnacentral:rRNA from 1 species
UACCAGCACCCCGAGUGGUCGGGACGUUUAUUGGGCCUAAAGCAUCCGUAGCCGGUUCUACAAGUCUUCCGUUAAAUCCACCUGCUCAACAGAUGGGCUGCGGAAGAUACUAUGGAGCUAGGAGGCGGGAGAGGCAAGCGGUACUCGAUGGGUAGGGGUAAAAUCCGUUGAUCCAUUGAGGACCACCAGUGGCGAAGGCGGCUUGCCAGAACGCGCUCGACGGUGAGGGAUGAAAGCUGGGGGAGCAAACCGG